rnacentral:lncRNA from 1 species
UCCUCCUGGGCAUAGGCGCAUCCAGACUCCUCCCCGAGCUCGUAAACAGAGAAGCCCAGACCGUCGAGUUUAGUGAGGCUCCCCUCCCAGGAGAUUCCACAUCUACGCCCCUCUCAACGCAUCGAAAACUCAAGUGCUGAUGGAGGUCAGGAAGCAGCUCCCAAGGUCGGAGAGGAUACGCUCACACCCUGGAAAGUGCAACCUGAAUAAAUUCUGCCUCUAUCAUCGUGACCAUGGCCACGAUACGGAGGAGUAUAUUCAGCUCCGAGACGAGAUCGAGGAGCUUAUCAGACGAGGUUGGCUCGACAGAUUCAUUCGAUGCUGACCUGAAGGAAGGGAAGAUCGACCUAGGGCCCUGCCGCAGUCGGAACCGCCAAGGAGCGAGGAGCAGCCAGA